ncrna:unclassified sequences DTF3577 RNA
CGAAUCGGACAGCGCAGGAAACUGCGUCAAACUCGCCUGCAACCCCGGCAACACCCCGCAAGCGGUGUGGCGACUGAAACCUCCGCCCAUGAGGCGCGACCGU